rnacentral:rRNA from 1 species
AUUUCCGGGUUCGCCUGGGGUCUAGUGGCGCACGGGUGAGUAGCGCGUGGGAACCUGCCUUGGAGUGGGGGAUAACCGAGGGAAACUUCGGCUAAUACCGCAUGAUCCCGGCUGUCUUGAGAGAGCUGGCCGGGCAAAGAUUUAUCGCUCCGAGAGGGGCCCGCGUCGGAUUAGCUUGUUGGUGGGGUAACGGCUCACCAAGGCGAUGAUCCGUAGCUGGUCUGAGAGGAUGAUCAGCCACACUGGGACUGAGACACGGCCCAGACUCCUACGGGAGGCAGCAGUGGGGAAUAUUGGACAAUGGGCGCAAGCCUGAUCCAGCAAUGCCGCGUGAGUGAGGAAGGCCUUAGGGUUGUAAAGCUCUUUCGCCCGCGACGAUGAUGACGGUAGCGGGAGAAGAAGCCCCGGCUAACUUCGUGCCAC